GCGGAGGAUGAGGAAGCACCGCGUCCGGCUGCUGGACAAAGACCCUGCGUCAAAACCCCGCAAAAGUGACGAGAGCACACAGGCGUUUCUCCCCCAACUUUUACAGCUGUUUUCAAAAACCACCCUCCCAAAAAAAGAAGUUACCACAACAAGCAGGUGUGUUUUUCCGGGUAAAAAGUUGCUAAGUUGUGCUGUCUGUGCGUGCCUACCUUAGUGUUAGCUCCAGGGAGAAACAGCGACACUCAGCAACCAGGAGACGGCCGCCUAGCCAACAAGUUUCAGUGCCUUCACCCUUCCACACUGCGUUUAUUAGGAACAAGCUCGCAAUGGUUGGCUUGAGUACAUCCGGUACCAGUGAUUUCCGGUUUGAGUUGCCUGUUGAUUUGUGGGCUGUCCCACUAGUGACGUCACCACUGCCGGGACGGUACAGGACAUCGCUGAGGAAAAGCGACACAUUGUGGAGCAUGGUGUCUAUGGAGGAUUUUCUGUGUGUGACAAAAUUAAAUGAAUGU